AUUGAACGCUGGCGGCAGGCCUAACCCAUGCAAGUCGAACGAGUGGCGGACGGGUGCGUCAUGUCUGGGAAACUGCCUGAUGGAGGGGGAUAACUACUGGAAACGGUCGCUAAUACCGCAUACCAUCGGAUGUGCCCAGAUGGGAUUAGCUUGUAGGUGGGGUAACGGCUCACCUGGGCGACGAUCCCUAGCUGGUCUGAGAGGAUGACAAGCCAAACUGGAAUUGAGACACGGUCCAGACUCCUACGGGAGGCAGCAGUGGGGAAUAUUGCACGAUGGGGGCAAGCCUGAUGGAGCCAUGCCGCGUGUAUGAAGAAGGCCGUCGGGUUGUAAAGUACUUUCAGGGGGGAGGCGUUACCCGCAGAAGAAGAACCGGCUAACUCCGUGCCAGCAGACGCGGUAAUUC
rnacentral:rRNA from 1 species